rnacentral:sRNA from 1 species
GUCAGUGGAAGUUAACCUAAAACCAUCACGUCCUGUGACAACGGUUAACUAAUCUGCGACAUCCGCCGA